UAUUAUUCAUAGAGCUAGCCAAUGAGCUUUAAGAAACAAUAUUGGAAUCUCAAAAAGAGAAACAACAUAUUAUUGAAGACAUGGCGUUGAGUAAAGAAUCAGCAACUUUCUGUCUAAGAUUGCAACCAAAAACUGUUGAUUAUUGCAAUCUUAGGCAAAAGUUGUUGAUUCAUACUCAACGCCAAAAGAUAAAUCCAUAUCCACAAUGCUAAGUUGUUGUCUAGAAAGCGAACAUUUCAUGCGUGUACAUGUUAGCGCCUGCAAGACGAUUGACAUAGACAAAGUGGUCUUUGUACCAAAGUCCUGUGGCAAAGCCACUAGCCCCUGUGGAGGUAAGAAAUUCUUUCGGCCAUAAAACUCUUUAUGUAAAAGUCUUUUCCUCCACAAUUUAUGUGUCCCUUUUACUUCACAUGGUAAUUGGAAAUAUCAAUAUUCUACUUGGAUUAAUAAUAUCAAUAAUCCACACAUACAAUGUCAAGAUCCCAUAUUUCGAUAGAAGGUCCUAUUGAGCCAACAGCUUUCACCAAGCUUUGAAAAAAAAAAGCAUCAGAUUUCUUUGGAGAACCACCUAUCCCAUCUAUUUGACUAUUUCCCCGCCGCCACACAAAUAUCAUCUCAUAUCUCUCUCUUGGCUGGCCAACUAAGCAUAAACACAAACACACUCCUCACACCUCUCUCUCUCUCUCACUCUCUCGCCGGUGCUCACUCCACCAUUGUUUUUCUGACGGGAUUCACCCGAAAACACCAUAUAUAGGAAGCUCUUAGGCUCCACUAUCUCAUUUUUUUAAGGUAAACUCUUAACGUUUUGGUGGAUUGUCAUGUUGUGGUUAGAUUUCUUUCUAAUAUGAGCUUCUUGGGUGAUAUCUAUGUGAUUCAAUUUAGGAUUUUGAUUUUGUGUACUUUUAUUGUGAAUGGUUGUGGAUAUAUUUUUUUUUUUUAAAUGGUGGCCAGUUGAGGUUUACCGAUGGUAAAUUUGACUUUGGUCUUCUAAUGUGAAAUAAUUGGUAAAUCUAAUUUUUAUUUCUAUAGAGCUUAAUUUGGAGCUAGUUGAAAGUUUAGAUUUGGCUUGUAAUGGUGGAUUUUGUGAUAUAUCUUGUUUCAUGGGUCUCUAUUAGUUAUGUUCGGUAAAUCUUAAGGGAGCAACUUAUAAAGUAUUAGCACUUUAUUAUAAAAGGAGUGAGUAGGAUGGAAUCCAAGACGUUUUAAAUAUUUAGGUUUGCUAAUUUAGUUGCUUAGUUAGUAACUUUCCAUUUCAUAGCUAGACAUAUUAUCAAGCGUGAUACUUAUCGUGAUAGGUUUGCUUGACAUUGUUUAGGUCUUAGUUGACCCAUUUUUGAAGCUUUGGAAGUUAGGUUUUUUGCGGAUUACAAGGUAAAUGGCUCCUUAAUGGGAUUUUUUAGAAAGAUAAUCAUAUUGCAUAAAACUUUGGUUUUGGGUAACAUAUUUUGGAAAAUUAUUUGGGGAGCUAUGUUUUUCUAAAAAGUGUCGUGUUGUGACCCUACUAUAUAUGAUUAUAUAUGAAAAACACAUCAUAUUUAAUAUUGCAUAUGGGAAAAUGCAUGAAUAUUUGGCAUGACAAAGACAAGCAUCUUUGAAUUCUUUUGAUAAUGGAUUUCAUGAAAUUAUUGUAUUGUUGCAAUUUCUAAAGAUGCGUUUACCUUGACUAGUAAUAUUUGGAAAAAUUGAUAGAAAAUAUUAUUGAUAAUGAACAGUUUUAGAGACCUUGAAAAUUUUAUGGAUGUCUUGGUUAUUGGACAAUUUUAUGAAAAUACUUGAAGUAAAAUAUGUGUUUUGAAUACUUGUGAGCUUUUGAUAUGAUUUUGCCACUGUAACGACGUCUUUUUGACGUGUGAUUACCUUGUCUUUAUGGUGACGUCUUUGUGGCUAUAAUCAUCUUAAUGGAAUUUUCAUUUCCUCCAUCCCUAUUAAUUAUGCUAUUUACUGAGCUGUCUCAUCCCAUUCUUUCACUAACUUUUUUAGAGUAGGCAGCGACCCUUUUGUAAUAGGUUUUUGUGGCUAGCAAUAGUUAGACAACUACUAAUGGAGGCUGGACUUUUGUGGCAAUGAUCCUUAGGUGUUGUACAUUCUAGAGAAUACUUGACACAUUCUUUUGUAACUAAUAGUAGUGAUGACUUUUAUCCCUAAUGGGACAAGUUAUUGAUGUGUAAUUAUAAUUUUUCAAACCUCCGUUCUUUUGU